GAAGUUUUCAAAAUUAAAAACCUAGGCUGUGAAACACCUGAAGAGGAUGAAAGGAUCAAGGACUGAAGCAGGGCGAAAACAUAAGCAAACCACACAUCAGAUAUGAAUAUGAAAGAACUCUCAAAACUAUUAUCUUUUUAAAAAAUAUCCAAAUACAAAAUAGACAAAACACAGAACAGGCAUUUCACCCAAGAGGAAGAGAUACGAUUGGAUGGCAAAUAAGCACGUAAAAAGAUAUGAGGCAUUUCCUGGGAAUGCAAGUGAAAAUCAUAGCGAGAUACCUGGACACAUCCAUCAGAACGCCUUAAACAACAUACAGAACGGUAAUAAAAUGCUGAUGAGGUAGAGGAGAAACCCAGUCAUUCACCCAUACUGGUGGUAAUGUAAAAUGGUACAGUCACUGUGGUGGCUUCCAAACACACAAAUAACAAAAAACAAAAAGCUUUGCAAGUACCGUACAAUCCAGAAACUCAACCCCCAGUCAAAUAAAAAUAGAUUGUCGAGUAAAGGAUUGACUCAGCAGGUCUAGAAUGUUCAGAACCAGCACAUUCCAAAGAAACGUCGGGCCUUGCCUGGCUCCUGGGAAGCCCUUGGAAUGCCUGAUGAAUGUCCUUAUUUAGUUAGGGACUUAGAUAGUUGAGGCUAACAGUGUGAUUUAUGGCAGGGGCCUUGGGCCACGCGGUAUCAGUUUGAGCUCCAGGAAGUCAGCUUUAUGGGGUCCUGUGAGUCCUUCUAGGGAGCAAAGCAUCAAAUCGGAGGGUGGUCUGGAGGACGCCACCUAUUCCCCCGCCGGACAACACUUAUGUUCACGAAAAAUCCUAGACUUGAAUGGUCUCAGCCCCUCUGUUCAUCAGAGCCCCAAACUGGAAACAACACGGAUUCCUUCAAGGAGUGACUGGUUACAGAAAUGGUUGGUGGCAGGGGUAGUCGUGGAAAUAGAAGUGUUUGGAUAUACAUAGCGAAGGAAGAAUGGACAGGACUGGACAAUGAGUUAUCUAUGACAUGGGGACAUACAGGAUGAGGAAACGCUUUUGGAGUUUGGAAAAGACUCACUACGUGAACAGUGGUAAAAUCCAGACAGGGGGAAGUCUGGGGCGUGGCCAGGGUAAAGAAGAAGCAGAACAAGAUUUUAGGGUUGGACCACUUUUAAUAUGUCAUUUCUGUGAGGUAUCCAAGUCAGAAAACCAACUAGGUGGUCGUACAUCUAAUUCUGGAAAAAGUUGAAAUAUGGGGUUUAUAAGCAUAGAGUUCUUAAUGCCUUAGAAAUGGACUAGACCACUCAGAGGUUAUUUAUUUUUUUAAUCAUAUCGGUAAUAGACUGUAGGGCCCAGCGUGGAGCAACAGAUGUGCUUCAAGUUAACACCCAUGCAGAGGAGCCUAUGCUGGUAAACAGUGCUGUGGAGGAGCAUCAAGGAAGGUAGUAGUGAAAUGAGAAACCUCUGGUUGUCAGGAGCCAGAGAUAACAGCAUUCCAAGAAACCAAGAUAAGUGAGCCACUUACCUGAACUGCUUUGAAGGAAACCAGGACAUGUCACCCCAAAAUAUCACCCACUGUUUGGCACAUCAAUUAUUUUGAAUUCCAGGCACUUAUGACACAGCAGAUGCAGGAAGGAUGCUCUGACACUACUUUUUCUUCCUGAGAGCAGGAGAUCAAACUCCCAUGUGAAAGGUACCCUCCCUGUACCAGGAGGAAGACAUUCUUAAUCACCAGAGACAGGAAAUGUGAGUGGGAGAAUUGGGGACUGAGCAGUUUGUACCAACAAAACCUGACUAAUCUCAUGCCUAUCUUCCUAGUUCACUGUAAACUACCCACAGCCCAGACCCCUUUGUCUUGUCAAUUCUUCACAAAUUGAUUCUUUGUCUAAAAGAUAUAAAAGCUUCCUGUUCUUGUCACAUCUUUGGGUCUUCGAUCUCUCAUGAAAUCUCCCAUGUACAUGUAAACAUUUAAUAAAAUGUGUGUGCUCUUCUUCUAUUAAUCUGUCUUUUGUCAGUUUCAACCUUAGGCCCAGUCAGAGACCCUAAAAAGAGGGAAGAGGAGAAUUUUCCCUUCCCUACAGCUGUUAGAAUGUCCAGUAAGGUGAUAAAUGGAAAGUGAGCAUUAGAUGUUCACCAAAGAAGUCACUGGUGUCCAUGGCAAAAGAGAGCAGUAUUUGGAGCCAUCUGGUGGGAAACUGUGUAUACAGUGAAAUAAAGAGGUGUGAGGUGAAGAUAUUGAAAGGUUAUAUGUUAAACAGACAAGUGUUCACAAAAGUUCAACUCUUUAUUGUUUGUUUUUUUAAAGAGCAGUUUGGGUUCAGAGCAAAACUGGAGUACAGUUUAUUCCAAUAUGCCCCCUCCUCUGCCAUCGCUGAUUCCCACCAACCCCACAAAUAAGAGAGAGAGAGAGAGUGACCUCAGAGCCUUCCCCUUCUCUACUAUCCUAUCAACAUGCCACAUCAGUGUGUUGACUCUACAUGCAUUAGGGUUCACUCUUGAUGUACAUUUUGUGGGUUUUGACCAAUCUAUCUCACCAUUAUAGUAUCAUAGAGAAUAACUUCCAUCUUAAAAAUCCUGUGCUCUCCCUAUUCACCCCCACCCCCAACCGCCAACCCCCUACAACGCCUCGCAACACACUGAUCUCUCUACCCUCUCCAAACUUUUGCCUAUCCUGUAAUGUCAUACAUAGUUGGAGCCAUAAGGUAUGUAACCUCUUCAAAUUGCCUUCUUUCAGUGAGUAAUAUGCAUUUAAGGUUCUCCUUCUGUCGCCUCACAGUUCCAUAGCUCGCUCACUUCUUUUUAGCACCAAAUAAUUCCUUUGCACGAAUGUAUCCAUCUGUGUCCGUUCAACUCCUGAGUGACAUCUCGGUUGCCUCCCAGUCCUGGUAGCUAUGAAAAAGGCCACCGUUAAUGUCCACGUGCAGGUUUCUGCUGUUUUUGGCGGCGGCGGCUGUGUGUGUGUGUGUGUGUGUGUGUGUGUAUAUAUAUAUAUAUUUGUCUGUAGCUCAAAACAAGACUAGUUCCUCCUACACUUAUGUCUUUUACCUCAUGUUUGGCUUUUGACAGAAAGAGGGACAUUUUUCUGAAACGAUGGGGCUGGGGAGGCUGAAGUAUAAGAUGGGUGCAGGCCCAUGCAUAUUCCUUUCUUAUGUGGUGGGAAUAUGACUCUUGCUGUUUGAGAUCUAAUUUCUCCAUGAACGAUCAGGGAAGAUACCAGGCGUAAAAAGGGAAAGUGAAGCUUAGAAAAACAUGGAGAAGAUUAGUUAUAGAUGCCGGGGUCUCCAGCACAUGAACCUAAGAUUUCUGGAUGUGUACGGCAGAUUUGGUGUGUAGGACUUUGAAUUUACAGUGUUAUCAUCUAGCCACUUUUGGCUGUCACACACCACCUCGUCACCACUAGAAAGAAGAAGGAAGAUAGAUAAACAUGAUUGAACCCCACAAAUGGCACCCCUGAAUCAAGACGGGUGCUCUCUUUGGGCAAAUUGUGACUCUAAGUUGUGAUCCCAGGGUUUUUUAAUUUUACUUUCUGUUUUGUUUUUGGGCCGCCCAGCUUGUGGGAUCUUAGUUCCCCAACCAGGGAUUGAACCUAGGCCCUCUGCAGUGAAAGCACCAAGUCAUAACCACUGGACCGCCAGGGAAUUCCCGCCCCCACCCAGGGUUGUUUUAAAGACUAAACUAAUAUGAGUUUACACAAGGAGGAUGCGAAUGUACUUAAUGCCACUUAUAAAUAACUAAAUGAUCAAUUUUAUGUGAUACAUAUUUUUAACCACAAUUCAAAACAGAACACCCUCUCCCUGACUCAGACUAAGGGAGUUCCUGGGUCUAUCAGAGUCAUUGGCAGUGUGGAAAACCAGGGGUCAGCAAAUAGAAAUAUUUUCUUCCUCUUGAGGUGAAUAAAAAUUGUAAAAGACAGUAGUUGGACAUGCUAUAAUUCAAAAAGGAAAGGUAGGGGUUAAUUUUAGCAUUUAAAAGCAUACACUGUCCACCUUUCAAAGUAUUUACACUACAAAUUAUGUGUAAUUUCUUGGGUCAAGCAGUGCUUGGAAACUUGCAGAGUAACUGAGCCUGUUGCCAGAUCUUUUGUUGGUGUCCAUGUCUGCAGACUGUGUGUGACCCAAAUGAGGUUAAGAUUGGGGUGGGUGGGAGAAGAAUUUUGGAGUUUAUGUCCAUAUUUAGUAUGUGUAAGAGAGGAAAAUGAUGUUCCCUCUAGAACCUUCUGAGUUUUUGGCUGUAACAAAAAGACGGAUCAAGAAGAGAAAAACAGGGGCUUCCCUGGUGGCGCAGUGGUUAAGAAUCCGCCUGGCAAUGCAGGGGACACGGGUUCGAGCCCUGGCCCGGGAAGAUUCCCACAUGCCGUGGAGCAACUAAGCCCGUGCGCCACACCUACUGAAGCUGAGCUGUAGAGCCCGCAAGCCACAACUACUGAAAAUUGCGUGCCCAGAGCUUGUGCUACGCAACAAGAGAAGCCACAACAAUGAGAAGCCUGCACACCGCAAUGAAGAGUAGUCCCCGCUCACCGCAACUAGAGAAAGCCCUCGCACAGCAACAAAGACCCAACACAGCCAUAACUAACUAAAUAAAUUUAU
rnacentral:lncRNA from 1 species